AAAGUCCUGAUUUGUUCGUCGUAUAACCUAUUGUUUUGACCGAACAAUAAGUUAUACGGGAGCCCGGAGUUUUUAUACUGAGUACAUGCCUUAUCACUCUGAUUAGAGGACGUAUGAUGAUGAAACAGGGCACCCACCUGCGCGAUGCGGGUUCAAAACUAAGGCAGCGACGGCAGGAUUGGGACUUUU
rnacentral:other from 1 species